rnacentral:rRNA from 1 species
CAGCCGCCGCGGUAACACGUAGGGUGCAAGCGUUAAUCGGAAUUACUGGGCGUAAAGCGUGCGCAGGCGGUUCUAUAAGACAGAUGUGAAAUCCCCGGGCUCAACCUGGGAACUGCAUUUGUGACUGUAGAGCUGGAGUGCGGCAGAGGGGGAUGGAAUUCCGCGUGUAGCAGUGAAAUGCGUAGAUAUGCGGAGGAACACCGAUGGCGAAGGCAAUCCCCUGGGCCUGCACUGACGCUCAUGCACGAAAGCGUGGGGAGCAAACAGGAUUAGAUACCCCGGUAGUCCCUGUCUCUUAUAC